GGCAAGGUAGUUUAUAUAAAAUGUUUGUUUUACACACAAAAGUAGAAUAUUUUUCUAUUGUCA
rnacentral:tRNA from 1 species